rnacentral:lncRNA from 1 species
CAAGGUCUGUCUGAUGGCAGGACCAGGGCUGGCUCAGGAUCCCACGCUGUCUUUCCAAGCUUCCGGACUGGCUAAGGAGUGGGCCUGGCUGGGAGAGGGAUCCGGUCCAGGGAUGCAGAGCUGCUGAGUGCCCCUUGCUGCUGGCGACCGCCUGCACCUUCACACAGUCUCCGCGCUCCAUAGGCUCCUGUGUCCAUCCGGACUGGCCUCCGCCCCCAUGCGCACCCCAGAUCCCAGCCCUACCCCACCUACCCCCACCAUGUCU